CAUAUACUCCCUCCGUUCAGAAUUACUUGUCACGGAAAUGGAUGUAUCUAGACAUAUUUUAGUUCUAGAUACAUCCAUUUCCGAGACAAGUAAUUCCGAACGGAAUGAGUAUAAA
rfam:Triticum aestivum genome assembly, contig: Triticum_aestivum_CS42_TGACv1_scaffold_328309_4BS